GAAAGCCGGCGCAAUCAAGCUAGCAAGCUACGGAGUUUGCCGCCAAUGUAUUUUUUGUAAAGUGUAUAAAAACGAAUAUGGAAGCUGGACAAAUAAGAUGCCAAAAAACAACGAUUUUCAAGGAGGAACUUUUUUUCUCCUCCAUUUGAAAACGUGGACGCCUGAUUCCAAACAUUGCAAGUCAUCAAAAUCAGUAGAUGGCAGUAUUGUCCUGUUUAAGAGGGUCACAACAUUGCUGAGUCAGGUCCACAUGGAGCUGGAGGGGGCGUGGCCUCCAGGUCCAGCAGCCAUGGAUGAAGUGCUGGAUGUCCAGAGUCGGGACCUGGGGUAGACCGCUCGCCUAUGCAUCGGUUAGGGACAUCUCUGCACUGCUGACCCGUCUCCGCUCGAGAUGGUCUCCUGCUGGCCCCACCAUGGACUGGACGAUCACUAUUAUGUUAGAUCUACUAUGGACUGGACUUUCACAAUAUUAUGUUAGACCCACUAUAUGUCCAUUGCAUCCGGUCUCCACUAGAGGUCCUCUCCAAAGUUUCUCCGUCAUUCACAUUUACGUCCCACUGGGUUGUGAGUUUUUCCUUGCCCUUUUGUGGGCUCCGAACAGAGAAUGUCGUUUUGGCUUGUGCAGCCCUUUGAGACACUUGUGAUUUAGGGCUAUAUAAAACAUUGAUUGACAAACUAACUUACCGAAAGUGCUUUGUGGGUGAAAAGGACUGAAAAAGGCUAGAAUAAAAAGGACAUGAGACAAUGACUUUAAUAUUUGAAUGAAAAAAAAAGCGAUAAAAGCAGUGUUUAAUUUGGUAAAAGAUAUAAUUGGAGGUAAAACAUUCAAAUUACACUGGAGUGGUAAACAUUUCUGGCUUCACAGUCAAGCGAUCAAGGGUUUGAUUCUUCACUGGAACGUUUGUGUGCAAUUAGCCUCUCUUUUACUUGAGUGCACUCUUACAGUAGGUAAGGUUGAAUUGUUGCCUCAUUCCCGUGAGAAUCCUGCCUGUGACUGACUCAUUAAGUUGUGUGACUAUCCAGCAUCAGCUGCAGUGUGCUCAAGCAAACACCAGGAAGCAUCUGUGAGCAUUCUCUUUCUCAGGUCGGUAGUGCAUUCUUCACUCACGCUUUAAAGGCCUACUGAAAUGAGAUUUUAUUUAAACGGGGAUAGCAGGUCCAUUCUAUGUGUCAUACUUGAUCAUUUCACGAUAUUGUCAUAUUUUUGCUGAAAAGGAUUUAGUAGAGAAUAUCCACGAUAAAGUUCGCAACUUUUGGUCGCAAAUAGAAAAGCCCUGCCUUUACCGGAAGUCGCAGACGAUGACGUCACAUGUUGAUGGCUCCUCACAUCCUUACAUUGUUUUUAAUGGGAGCCUCCAACAAAAAGCUAUUCGGACCGAGAAAACGACAAUUUCCCCAUUAAUUUGAGCCAGGAUGAAGGUUUCGUGUUUGAGAAUAUUGAUAGCGACGGACUAGAAAAAAAAAAAAAAAAAAAAUCAAGUAAAAAAAAAAAAAAAAAGGCAAUUGCAUUGUGAGCAAUUCAGAUUUUUUUAGACACAUUUACUAGGAUAAUUCUGGUCAAUCCCUUAUCUUUCUAUUGUGCUGCUAGUGUUUUAGUGAGUUUAACAGUACCUGAUAGUUGGAGGUGUGUGUCCACGGGCGUCUUGACACCAAUGUCUCAGUGAAGUCGACGGCAGCUGUAUGGACGGCACAACCUCAGCUGAUCUCCGGUAAGUGGCGACUUUUUACCACAAUUUUCUCACCGAAAACUGCUGGUUGACAUUUGGUCGGGAUCCAUGUUCGCUUGACCGCUCUGAUCCAUAGUAAAGUUUCACCUCCAGGAAUUUUAAACAAUGAAUCACCGUGUGUUUGUGUGGCUAAAGCUUCCCAACUCCAUCUUUCUACUUUGACUUCAUUAUUAAUUGAACAAAUUGCAAAAGAUUCAGCAACACAGAUGUCCAGAAUACUGUGUAAUUAUGCGGUUAAAGCAGACGACUUUUAGCUGGGUGUGUGUGCGCAGCGCUAAUAUUUCCCAACAGUCCGUGACGUCCCGCCUACACAUCAUUCUGCAACGUUUUCAACAAGAAACUCCCGGGAAAUUUAAAAUUGCAAUUUAGUAAACUAAACCGGCCGUAUUGGCAUGUGUUGCAAUGUUAAUAUUUCAUCAUUGAUAUAUAAACUAUCAGACUGCGUGGUGGGUAAUAGUGGGUUUCAGUAGGCCUUUAAGUGAGGGAUGAGGAAAAACUUAACCUACCCUCUGUAUUUUUCCUUUAUACAGCGCAAUAGCAUACUGUUGGGUUAAUACCUUUCUGACAAAACUGAGCUUUACAAAUGUAAAAAAUGAUCAAGUGAAGAAAUGUCUGGUGCACAACAAAAUGUUUGAUACUGGUUUAUUAAUUUUUUGGCAAUACAUUGACAUUUUCCCCACAAGUAAAUAGCAAAGUGUUACAGUCAAGUCUGAUCGCUGGACGAUGCUGCAUGCGGUGAGCGUGUUUUAUGUACAUGACCAAAUUUCUAAAAAGAUUAUGGCGAUUCUAAACUGCAACUAAACCACCAAAAAAAAACAAAAAAAACAUUUGUGUAUGAAUGACUUGGAAAAUGACUCCGACUAUUUGGUAGGGUACUAACCCCACCCAAAGCCCAAACCCCCAUCUGUAAGAUGUGUUGAAACAUUUACAAAGAAAAAAAUAAAAAUAAGAUGUUGGGAAGUGUGUUCUUUUCUGCUGUUUAAGCUUGUCCGCAGCACUUGCCCUCAAUCGAUAGGACACGUCCGCCCA